UGUGUUUAAGGUGGGUUCUUGAUGGAUAAAUAUUUUUUUUUAUGAAUUUGAUGCUUAGAACUUUACUGGAAAUAAUGCAACGGUUGGUGUUGCAGCAGGUAGAAGAAUUAAAACAUGAAUUCUGGCUUCUUGAAGGGAAAAUUUCAAAAAUGCCAUAAGAGCAUUUAAGAUUGGUGUCUCAAGAGUUGGUUAGCUUUUAUAUUUUUUGUGCAGUGUAUGCAUACUAGUAUGAUUUUCUUGAGCUCUUUUACAUUCUCUUGGUUGGUAAAGUUUUAAUUUUGGGGAUUUUUUAACUUUGUAAAUUGGGUUAUGGGGGUGAAAGAAGAAGUUGAAUUAUAGUUGGCGGCAGAUGGGUUACGGCUGGGGGAGAGAGAGAUGGUUGGGUUGGGUUGGAGGUGGUGGCAGCAG
rnacentral:lncRNA from 1 species